UACGUAGGUGGCAAGCGUUGUCCGGAGUUAUUGGGCGUAAAGCGUGUGUAGGCGGGUCCGUAAGUACCUUGUGAAAUCCCACGGCUCAACCGUGGAACUGCUCGGUAUACUGCGGGCCUUGAGCCAGCUAGGGGCAACCGGAACAAACGGUGGAGCGGUGAAAUGCGUAGAUAUCGUUUGGAACGCCAAUGGUGAAAACAGACUGCUGGGGUUGUGCUGACGCUGAGACACGAAAGCCAGGGGAGCGAACGGG
rnacentral:rRNA from 1 species